AUUGAACGCUGGCGGCAGGCCUAACACAUGCAAGUCGAACGAGUGGCGGACGGGUGAGUAAUGUCUGGGAAACUGCCUGAUGGCGGGGGAUAACUACUGGAAACGGUAGCUAAUACCGCAUACCAUCGGAGGUGCCCAGAUGGGAUUAGCUAGUAGGUGGGGGAAAGGCUCACCUAGGUGACGAUCCCUAGCUGGUCUGAGAGGAUGACCAGCCACACUGGACCGGAGACACGGUCCAGACUCCUACGGGAGGCAGCAGUGGGGAAUAUUGCACAAUGGGCGAAACCCUGAUCCAGCCAUGCCGCGUGUAUGAAGAAGGCCUUCGGGUUGUAAAGUACUUUCAGCGGAGAGGCGUUACCCGCAGAAGAAGCACCGGCUAACUCCGUGCCAGCCGCCGCGGUAAUAC
rnacentral:rRNA from 1 species